rnacentral:lncRNA from 1 species
GAAUUAGAUGGAUUGGAGAUGGAUGCUAGUAGAUAUCAAGAGAUGGUGGAAAUCGAGUUUUUGAUGAAGAAAGCGUGGAUUUAUGAAGGAGUUUAGAGAUUGGGCUUGAAGUUAAUUAUUCUAGAUUUAAUUAGGCCCAAAACUCAUGUUUUAAUUAUUUUUUAGGCUUUACUCUUUAAAGGGCCGAAGCCCAUAUUGUUAGAUAGAGGCGGCACUUAGGGAUUUUAAUCCCAUAUAUAUAUUUGCUUAAGGGGAGCCGCAUGGGAGAGAUUAAUUAGGUUUUGUUUUUUAGUUAGCAACCUAGCCGCAACUUUGGACUAGAUUAUUAGGUUGACUUUUGUUUUAGUUUUUACACACACUUUUAUUCCCGUAG